rnacentral:rRNA from 1 species
AACGUAGGAGACAAACGUUAUCCGGAGUUAAUGGGCGUAAAGGGCGUGCAGGUGGUCUGUUAAGUCUGGCGUGAAAGCUCCUGGCUAAACCGGGAGAGGUCGUUGGAUACUGGCGGACUAGAGGACGGUAGAGGCGUGUGGAAUUCCGGGUGUAGUGGUGAAAUGCGUAGAGAUCCGGAGGAACACCAGUGGCGAAGGCGACACGCUGGGCCGUACCUGACACUGAUACGCGACAGCAUGGGGAGCGAACGGG